rnacentral:rRNA from 1 species
AGCGAACGCUGGCGGCAGGCCUAACACAUGCAAGUCGAACGAACUCUUCGGAGUUAGUGGCGGACGGGUGAGUAACACGUGGGAACGUGCCUUUAGGUUCGGAAUAACUCAGGGAAACUUGAGCUAAUACCGGAUGUGCCCUUCGGGGGAAAGAUUUAUCGCCUUUAGAGCGGCCUGCGUCUGAUUAGCUAGUUGGUGAGGUAAAGGCUCACCAAGGCGACGAUCAGUAGCUGGUCUGAGAGGAUGAUCAGCCACAUUGGGACUGAGACACGGCCCAAACUCCUACGGGAGGCAGCAGUGGGGAAUCUUGCGCAAUGGGCGAAAGCCUGACGCAGCCAUGCCGCGUGAAUGAUGAAGGUCUUAGGAUUGUAAAAUUCUUUCACCGGGGACGAUAAUGACGGUACCCGGAGAAGAAGCCCCGGCUAACUUCGUG